rnacentral:rRNA from 1 species
GAAUAUUGGACAGUGGGCGCAAGCCUGAUCCAGCCAUACCGCGUGGGUGAAGAAGGCCUUCGGGGUGUAAAGCCCUUUUGUCGGGAAAGAAAAGCAGUCGGCUACUACCCGGUUGUUCUGACGGUACCCAAAGACAAAGCACCGGCUAACUUCGUGCCGGCAGCCGCGGUAAUACGAAGGGUGCAAGGGUUACUCGGAAUUACUGGGCGUAAAGCGUGCGUAGGUGGUUGUUGAAGUCUGUUGUGAAAGCCCUGGGCUCAACCUGGGAAUUGCAGUGGUUACUGGGCGACUAGAGUGUGUUAGAGGGUAGUGGAAUUCCCGGUGUAGCAGUGAAAUGCGUAGAGAUCGGGAGGAACAUCCAUGGCGAAGGCAGCUCCCUGGACCAACACUGACGCUGAGGCACGAAAGCGUGGGGAGCAAACAG